UUUCCCCUCGAUAUCUUCGCCCUCGCAGGCUCUGCAGGGCCCGGGUGGAUCCGGUGCGUUUCAGGGUUUAAUUCUGGCGCUCGCAAGCCGGGGCCGGCUCCGCCCCCUCCGCUCCGCCCCCUCCUCCGAGGUCUGGGAGCAGCGGCCGAGCCAGCGAGCGGCUGGCGGGUCGCAGCAGGUUGGGAGGAACGCCUAGAGGUGAGUGGAGCCGGGGGCGACACUGCGCCUUUUCCCCCCGGGCUGGGUGCGGGGGCGGCCGGACCCUCACCCCUGCCCCGCGCCGCUCUGCGCGCAGUCGGGCAAACUUGGCGCGCGCCGGGGGCGCACGGCGGCCGUGGCGGUGGCGGAGGGCAACCCCCGCGGACUCCCCCUCGCCCGGGUUCCCCCGGCGGCCUCGAGGCUGGCCUGGGGACUGGGUCCGAGAGGUUCCUUGGGCCCCGCGGCCGGCCGGCUUUGGCGCGCGCUGCGGCGGCGGGGCAGGACCGGGCAGGAAGGGGAGCGCCGCCCGCCAGGCUCGGGGCAGCGGGAAAGUCCGGGCCCGGCCGGGCGGCGGGAGGGUGCAGGCGCUUCUCGGCCCGGGGUCCGGGCGCACGGCCCUUGGGAGCCCCCGGGCCAUUUAUUAGCCCGCGAUGUGGUGGCAGACCCACUCCUAGGCGUCUCCCGGAGAAGUUGUCGGCUCCGCUCCGCAGGAGGGAGUGGCGAUCGACCCCUUUAUAUCCCAGAGCGGCAGGUGGCCUCGGGUCGCCCUCAGCCGACUGGGAGAUGGCUCAGGCCAGGGUUGGAGGGGUCGAGAGGUGGGGGAGGGGUGUGGGAGAGCUCUGGGCCUACUGGGGCCCGCCGUCCCCGGCCCGGACAGUGGGGGCAUCUGCAGGAUCCGCGGGGUCUUGUCCAGGGAGGGUGCGAGCGCCCUUAAGUGGGCUUGAUCCUUCAACGCCCCCCUCUUCCAAGCCACUUCGGCAAACACGCAAGGAAUCCUGCGCUCACGGCCGCCACCUCCCCUUCAUCCAUCCCUCUCCACCUGGGUCCCCGUGGAACUUCCAGAGGCACCUCUUGGCGGUGGGUCCUGCAAGUCAGCAAGAGUUGUGCUGCGCCGGCGUGACUCGGUGA
rnacentral:lncRNA from 1 species